UACGAAGGGGGCUAGCGUUGCUCGGAAUCACUGGGCGUAAAGCGCACGUAGGCGGAUCUUUAAGUCAGGGGUGAAAUCCUGGAGCUCAACUCCAGAACUGCCUUUGAUACUGGGGAUCUCGAGUCCGGGAGAGGUGAGUGGAAUUCCUGGUGUAGCGGUGAAAUGCGCAGAUAUCAGGAGGAACACCAAUGGCGAAGGCAGCUCGCUGGGACGGUACUGACGCUGAGACGCGAAAGCGUGGGGAGCGAACGGG
rnacentral:rRNA from 1 species